AAUCUUGGGCAAUGGACGCGAGUCUGACGGAGCAACGCCGCGUGAGUGAUGAAGGUUUUCGGAUCGUAAAACUCUGUUGUUAGGGAAGAACAAGUACCGAUCGAAUAGGUCGGUACCUUGACGGUACCUAACCAGAAAGCCACGGGUAACUACGUGCCUGCAGCCGCGGUAAUCCGUAGGUGGCAAGAGUUUUCCGGAAUUAUUUGGCGUAAAGCGCGCGCAGGCGGUUUCUUAAGUCUGAUGUGAAAGCCCACGGCUCAACCGUGGAGGGUCAUUGGACACUGGGGAACUUGAGUGCAGAAGAGGAGAGUGGAAUUCCAUGUGUAGCGGUGAAAUGCGUAGAGAUAUGGAGGAACACCAGUGGCGAAGGCGACUCUCUGGUCUGCAACUGACGCUGAGGCGCGAAAGCGUGGGGAGCAAACA
rnacentral:rRNA from 1 species